rnacentral:misc_RNA from 1 species
AUGAGCCCUUGCUAUUGGAGAUCCUCGUGGAAGUGAUGG